rnacentral:rRNA from 1 species
UACGUAGGGGGCAAGCGUUGUCCGGAUUUAUUGGGCGUAAAGAGCGUGUAGGCGGCCAUGCAGGUCCGUUGUGAAAACUCGAGGCUCAACCUCGAGACGUCGAUGGAAACCUCAUGGCUAGAGUCCGGAAGAGGAGAGCGGAAUUCCUGGUGUAGCGGUGAAAUGCGCAGAUAUCAGGAAGAACACCCGUGGCGAAGGCGGCUCUCUGGGCCGGUACUGACGCUGAGACGCGAAAGCGUGGGGAGCGAACAGG